rnacentral:misc_RNA from 1 species
UCGUAACAAGGUUUCCGUAGGUGAACCUGCGGAAGGAUCAUUACCGAGUGAGGGCCCUCUGGGUCCAACCUCCCACCCGUGUCUAUUGUACCUUGUUGCUUCGGCGGGCCCGCCAUCAUGUGGCCGCCGGGGGGCAUCUGCCCCCGGGCCCGCGCCCGCCGAAGACACCCCUGAACGCUGUCUGAAGAUUGCAGUCUGAGCAGAUUAGCUAAAUCAGUUAAAACUUUCAACAACGGAUCUCUUGGUUCCGGCAUCGAUGAAGAACGCAGCGAAAUGCGAUAAGUAAUGUGAAUUGCAGAAUUCAGUGAAUCAUCGAGUCUUUGAACGCACAUUGCGCCCCCUGGUAUUCCGGGGGGCAUGCCUGUCCGAGCGUCAUUGCUGCCCUCAAGCACGGCUUGUGUGUUGGGCCCCCGCCCCCCGGUCUCGGGGGGCGGGCCCGAAAGGCAGCGGCGGCACCGCGUCCGGUCCUCGAGCGUAUGGGGCUUUGUCACCCGCUCUGUAGGCCCGGCCGGCGCCCGCCGGCGACCCCAAUCAAUCUAUCCAGGUUGACCUCGGAUCAGGUAGGGAUACCCGCUGAACCUAAGCAUAUCA